AUUUCCUUGGGGGCCUAUCUUGUGAACCUGGCUCUGGCAUUGCUCUGUAAGGGAAUUUCAGAGAGCAGGGUCAUUUGAUCCCAUGGGACUCUCCUCCAGACCAUCUAUAGAAUGGAUUAGUUGAUGGACGCCAGUCAUGAAGAAGCUGAUUUCCGAGAGAUGAGUAUGAAAACGCACAAUGCUGGUAUCCAGCGUCCUCUGGCCUCAGGGGGAUGUUCCAGAGGAUGACCGUCCAUGAUGGAAGAGCAGAAGUGACCGAUAGCUCAUGUUUUGAUCCACACUCAGGAAGGAGCAGUGAUGGAGUUGGCGGUGUUUCCCUCCAAGUCUCCUCCAGAUUGUUCUCCACGUUGCCACAGGACCCUCUGGCAAGGGCCAUCCCAGAGCGCUCCAGCGACAGGUGACCAUUGUGUAUUGGAACCUUCACUUGCUUUGCCUCUGCUGGACUUAAGCACUUACUUUAUUGAACUAAACUCAAUGGAUCGAAACGAUGAAGCUUUGUCAAUACUAAGUAUUAA
rnacentral:lncRNA from 1 species